GCUUACCCGCAUACAAACGGAAUCCUAGGGUUCGAACCCAGCGGGUGGGAAAUUCGGUGGUACCCUUCCCCCUGUAAUACUGCACGUUAUUUAAUAAAUAUUGUGCUUCGGUGCGAGCCGACGGCCACGUGUAUGCGUGGAGCAGCGUCAUCAGCAAAAUAGUCGGAAUUCUACUUUAGUAGAGUUCUCGCCAUGGGAGUGCGCUGCGGGGGAUUGAACCUGGGUUGUUAUUUAAACCCAUAGUUACUUUAGUGCAAUGCGCGAUCUGGGUCGCUGUUUCUUGAAACAGUGGUGUAGAACUCGAUACCGAUCAUGAGGC
rnacentral:RNase_P_RNA from 2 species